GUGGAUUAGAUACCCUAGUAGUCCACGCCGUAAACGGUGGGCACUAGGUGUGGGGGACAUUCCACGUUCUCCGUGCCGAAGCUAACGCAUUAAGUGCCCCGCCUGGGGAGUACGGCCGCAAGGCUAAAACUCAAAGGAAUUGACGGGGGCCCGCACAAGCGGCGGAGCAUGCGGAUUAAUUCGAUGCAACGCGAAGAACCUUACCUGGGUUUGACAUACACCGGAAAGCUGCAGAGAUGUAGCCCCCGCAAGGUCGGUGUACAGGUGGUGCACGGUUGUCGUCAGCU
rnacentral:rRNA from 1 species